CCCAGUCGUAAUGGAUGAAUCAAAUAAAAAACAUAUAAAAGAUGCAAUAUAAAAAACAUUUUCCAUGGAAAUGAAGCAAGGGAAGUAGUGACAAUAUUAUAGGAUUACAUCCACUGUUCUCGGUGGCACUCGAUCUAGGACGUAAGUGAAGACUUCGAAGGGAAGUCCAGUUAUACCAAUGAAUCUGAUUUUCCCAGCCUCCUUGAGUUUUUGUAAGGCUGGAAUAGUCUCAUGUACAAUAUGUUACAAACAAAAAAUAUCCAAGGUUUAGCAUUUCUAAUUCUAAAUAACAAAAAAUUAGCAAAAGUCAUUGAAGUCUAACAAUGCUAACCAUUAAAUAAACACACCAGUGCACACAUACACAAAUACAUGCUAUAAAAUUGUAGAACAGGUGUUUAGAUAACUAGAAAUACUGAAAUAAAUAUUGGAUCAGGUGACACAAUUAAAAUUGAGAAAUCAAUAAACAAGAACCACCAAUUAAGUACCUGAUCAAGAGACCCAAUUUCAAUGUCAUGGCAUUGUAAUAUAUCAACAUAAUUGAGCUGUAACCGAGCCAAACUCUCGUCAAAUGCUUAUAGUCGCCCUUUCAGCACUGAAAUCAAAACCCUCUUUAUGCCUUCCACAUUUUGUUGAUAUAAUAUAUUCACUUCUCGACACUUCCAAAGCUUUCAAUGUCUUCCCAAGUACUUUCCUAGAUAAUGUUCCGCCCUAAUACCUUAGAUAUCGCCAAUCAAAUAUGAAAAGAAACAUCAAAGUUAAUCACCUCAAAU
rnacentral:lncRNA from 1 species